GCGGCCUAUCAGCUUGUUGGUGAGGUAAUGGCUCACCAAGGCAACGACGGGUAGCCGGCCUGAGAGGGCGACCCGCCCACACUGGGACUGAGACACGGCCCAGACUCUUACGGGAGGCAGCAGUGGGGAAUAUUGGGCAAUGGAGGAAACUCUGACCCAGCGACGCCGCGUGCGGGAUGAAGGCCUUCGGGUUGUAAACCGCUUUCAGUAGGGAAGAAGCGAAAGUGACGGUACCUACAAAAGAAGCACCGGCUAACUAUGUGCCAGCAGCCGCGGUAAUACAUAGGGUGCAAGCGUUGUCCGGAAUUAUUAGGCGUAAAGAGCUCGUAGGUCGUUUGUUACGUCGGAUGUGAAAACCUGAGGCUCAACCUCAGGCCUGCAUUCGAUACGGGCAAACUAGAGUUUGGUAGGGGAGACUGGAAUUCCU
rnacentral:rRNA from 1 species